GGGACAAGCCACUGGUGUUCACAGCCCCAACCUGGGGGUAGCUCAGCCCCAAGAUCCCUGUCUGCCCUAGGCAUGAGGACAGCCCUCCAAGUAUGGGCUCUGUAGCAAGGUCUGCUUCUCCAGCCACUCCUGCUCAGAUCCUGAGACCUCUUUCCUCUUUGGAGGUGCCCAUCUCUCUCUACGGGAACCUCUGGACUUUUCCAUUCAGUGCCUCAGCCCAAGUGUGACUCCAAAUUCGUCUUAGGGUGUUCCUGAAGACUGGUGAGAUGUCGCAUUGUAUAGUAUUUUUGGGGGACUGGAGAAAGUCACUUUGACAAGUAACGCAUGUAAAUUGCAGCCAUUGAUUAAGGAGGAUUUAAUUUUAUCUAUUCUGUAUUCAUGGUACGAUAAAUAAAAAAGACUUCAGUGGUCACUGUAGGACUGCAACAACUACUGCAGAAAUGCAAUUUAUAGUUGCACAUUUUUUAACAGCGAGCUUUGGCAUACAUUUGAUUAAAUUCUGCUUUCCAGAGCACUUAAUGAGAAUUCUAAUUCUCUGGAGAUUUCUGUAGGCAUGACAGGUAAAGAGGAGUCUAUCAAGUCAUAGCUGUGAUUGUUAGUACGAGGAGCUGGCUCCUUUGAAGAAAAAUAAAAUUCAUAAGCAUGCGUGCAUAUCUUUGAAUAUUGCCAAGAUACAUAUUGGCAGAGCAAUAAAUAGUAGGAAGAUUUAUUACCUCUCUAUUUACCAACGCAUACAAAUCCAUGACACUUGUGAGGCACAGUGACAUUCAGGAACAUGUUUGAACUUAGUGGCUCCAGCAAAUCGUAUUUGUUUUGGGUUCUGUCAAAGAAUUUGUGGUCAAUUCAAUCUCUAAUGUUCAACAAGUCAUCUCAUUGCUUUCCCUGUGUCCCUGAUGGGGAAUGCCUAGGAACUUUCUCCAAAGGACCCAAAAUGGCCACCUACGUCUGUAAAUAAGCAGCCUAAAACAGCAAAAUACC